GAUGAACGCUGGCGGCGUGCCUAAUACAUGCAAGUCGAGCGAACGGACGAGAAGCUUGCUUCUCUGAUGUUAGCGGCGGACGGGUGAGUAACACGUGGAUAACCUACCUAUAAGACUGGGAUAACUUCGGGAAACCGGAGCUAAUACCGGAUCAUAUUUUGAACCGCAUGGUUCAAAAGUGAAAGACGGUCUUGCUGUCACUUAUAGAUGGAUCCGCGCUGCAUUAGCUAGUUGGUAAGGUAACGGCUUACCAAGGCAACGAUGCAUAGCCGACCUGAGAGGGUGAUCGGCCACACUGGAACUGAGACACGGUCCAGACUCCUACGGGAGGCAGCAGUAGGGAAUCUUCCGCAAUGGGCGAAAGCCUGACGGAGCAACGCCGCGUGUGUGAUGAAGGUCUUCGGAUCGUAAAACUCUGUUAUUAGGGAAGAACAUAUGUGUAAGUAACUGUGCACAUCUUGACGGUACCUAAUCAGAAAGCCACGGCUAACUACGUG
rnacentral:rRNA from 1 species